AUGGCCUCCACGACAGCGGCGUCGGUUCGGCACGUGGUCGCGUUGCCGUACCCGGGCCGCGGCCACAUCAACCCCAUGCUCGCCCUGUGCCGCCUGCUCGUGGCCGCGGACGGCUCCCUCACCGUCACCGUCGUCGUCACGGAGGAGUGGCAGGCGCUGCUGGCCUCCGUCACGCUGCCGGACCGCGUCCGGCUCGCCACCAUCCCCAACGUCACCCCCUCUGAGCGUGGCCGUGGUGCCGACCACGCUGGAUUCGUCGAGGCCGUGCGCGACAAGAUGGGGGAACCCGUCGAGCGGCUGCUCGAUCGUUUGGAGCUGCGGCCGGAGGCUGUCCUGGCCGAUACCUUCCUGACGUGGGCGUUGGCCGCCGGCGCGCGGCGCGGGAUACCGGUGUGCUCGCUGUGGACUCAGCCGGCCACGUUCUUCUUGGCGCUCUACCACUUGGACCUGUGGCCACCGGUGGAUGGACGUGACUCCCAAGAAGAACUAGGCAUCAAGUCUUUGGAGGAAUACCUCCCGGUCCCGGGCCUCACAUCGAUAAGGCUGUCUGAUCUCAAGAUCAUCCGCGCCUGGGAGAGAAAGCGACCAUUUGAAAUAGCAGUGGAGAUGUUCGCCGACGUACGCAAAGUACAGUGUGUCCUUUUCACCUCCUUCCUCGAGCUUGAGCCCAGUGCCAUCAACACAAUAGCAGAGUCACUUCCAUGCCCCGUGUACCCAAUCGGCCCUUCGGUCCCGCAAUCGGCACUCGACGGGGACAACAAGAUCCACGAGGAGGAGCACCGUGAGUGGCUGGACGCGCAACCAGAGAACUCGGUGCUGUACGUCUCGUUCGGCAGCUAUAUCCGCAUGCCGCCCUCGCAGCUCCAAGAGAUCGCCAUGGGUCUGCGUGACAGCGGGGUCAGGUUCUUCUGGGUGGCCCGGGACAAGGCCGCCGAUGUGCAGCAGAUGUGCGGCGACAGGGGGUUGGUGGUGCCGUGGUGCGAGCAGCAGAAGGUGCUGUGCCACCCCUCCGUCGGCGGCUUCCUCAGCCACUGCGGAUGGAACUCGGUGCUGGAGGCCGUGUACGCCGGGGUGCCAUUGCUCGCCUUCCCUCGGACCUGGGAUCAACUGGUGAAUGCCCGGAUGGCCGCCGACGAAUGGAAGGUCGGCAUCGACCUGAGGGGGCAGAAGAGGGAGGAUGGCACCGUGGGCAGGGCCGCGAUCUCUGCUGCCGUGGGCAAACUGAUGGACUCUGACAGUGGUGUUGGCCAAGAAAUGAGGAGAAGAGCUGCCGGACUGCGCGAGGAUUCCCGUUGCGCGAUCCAGGAAGGCGGCUCGUCGCAUCGUUCUUUCACCGGUUUCUUGCAAGAUCUCGUGGAUGGGAAACUCGAUGUAACGGGAACUUCCCAGUGA
rnacentral:rRNA from 1 species